GAUGCUGUUCAGGUAGUCAACCAUCAUCA
rnacentral:piRNA from 1 species